rnacentral:rRNA from 1 species
UACAUGGGGUGCAAACGUUGCUCGGAAUUAUUGGGCGUAAAGCGCGCGUAGGCGGUUACUUAAGUCGGAUGUGAAAUCUCAGAGCUCAACUCUGAAACUGCACUCGAUACUGCUCUGCUUGAGGACUGGAGAGGAGACUGGAAUUCACGGUGUAGCAGUGAAAUGCGUAGAUAUCGUGAGGAAGACCAGUGGCGAAGGCGGGUCUCUGGACAGUUCCUGACGCUGAGGCGCGAAGGCCAGGGGAGCAAACGGG